rnacentral:tRNA from 2 species
GCAGUUGUGGCCGAGUGGUUAAGGUGAUGGACUAGAAAUCCAUUGGGGUCUCCCCGCACAGGUUCGAAUCCUGUCGACUGCG